rnacentral:lncRNA from 1 species
CUUUGUUCAGUCCUGCAUCAUUGGGUCCCCAUGGGCUAGGUAGAUUUGCUGGCUGUCUGCGGUAUAAUUGCCCUUUCAUGGUUUGUAGGCAUAUCUUACAACCCAGAAUUCCCUGUACUCAAUCCUGACUCUGCCUGUUGGUAGCAUCAUGCUGGUGUAGUUUUUGGACUCAAAAUCUGUUCAUCUUUUUGCAGGGCUAUGGGUCUACUUAUUUUUCUUUGUGAGAUGAGGAUAUCUCAUCUUGUGCCCUUUCUCUCCAGGACUCUACAGUGUUUUCUACCCUCCCAGCUGACACUUUUCCUCCUCCUGGUACACAAGUUACAAGGAACCGACCUCUAUCCUGCUAAUGGGUGACUCUCAGGAGGCAUGGCCUCAGCUGGAAAAGCCACCCUGGGGAGAAAUUUCAGAGAUAGAUCUCAGUGAUGAGCUCAGCCUGACCGGACAAAGUCACCGCUUCUACACACUCCACUCAGGUCCACAAGCACUGCUUUCCUGAUGCCACACUCAGCAAAAGCAUGAUUCUUGAAAAAUGCUUGCCCAAGAUGUCAACCAAAUGCUUUGGGAUUCAAGGUUACACUGCUGGAGAAUCCACGGGCAUUCAUACCCCAGACAAUCUGUCAAACCCUCUGGUCUUGGGGCUCUGCCACCAGUAUGGAAAUGACCCCUAGUCAUGUGAAGGAAAAACUGUGUACCCAGUCUCAGUAGAGGCCUUUUGGACCUGAGAGUUGGAAGCAACCUGUAACUCAACUUUCCUCACUGGACACGUACUUGGGAUUCUGCCUUGCCAUCUCUACCCUAUCUCUGAACCCAGAAGGGGCAACCUCAAGCAGCAGCUGAUCAUGUCAGGGCUCUUCCUCCUCUACCAGCCAUUACCUCUACCAACAACUGGGAUCCCAUCCUUCUGACUCCUGGUCCCACCCAGUUCUCUCUGCCUUCCUCUUGAGCACCUGUGAGCCUGAUUUGGUCUCCCUCUCUCUCUUAAAAAAAAAAAAAAAAAGGAAAAGGAAAGAAAGAAAAAGAAAAAUCAAAUGCCUUAAGGAGUAUGGUUUUCUCUCUUAAAUUCUCCCANAAAAAAAAAAAAAAGAAAAGAAAAAAGAAAAAGAAAGAAAAAGAAAAAUCAAAUGCCUUACGGAGUGUGGUUUUCUCUCUCAAAUUCUCCCGUAUCCCUCAUUGUGCCCUGUCAGCACUCCUUUAAUUCAAUCAGCCAAACACACUUCUAGGCAGGUAACCUGCUUGAAAUAUCCCUGCUUUCUCUCCUCCCCAUAUUUUAAGUGAUGUGACUUUAGGUAGGAUUUUCCUUCAGUGGUACACGAAAAAUGGAGAGUCUCAGAUGGGAGAAAAAUAGGAAACUCUU